AACGAACGCUGGCGGCAGGCUUAACACAUGCAAGUCGAACGCCCCGCAAGGGGAGUGGCAGACGGGUGAGUAACGCGUGGGAAUCUACCCAGAUCUUCGGAACAACUGAGGGAAACUUCAGCUAAUACCGGAUACGCCCUACGGGGGAAAGAUUUAUCGGUUCUGGAUGAGCCCGCGUUGGAUUAGCUAGUUGGUGGGAUAACGGCUCACCAAGGCGACGAUCCAUAGCUGGUCUGAGAGGAUGAUCAGCCACACUGGGACCGAGACACGGCCCAGACUCCUACGGGAGGCAGCAGUGGGGAAUAUUGGACAAUGGGCGAAAGCCUGAUCCAGCCAUGCCGCGUGAGUGAUGAAGGCCUUAGGGUUGUAAAGCUCUUUCAGUAGGGAAGAUAAUGACGGUACCUACAGAAGAAGCCCCGGCUAACUUCGUGCCAGCCGCCGCAGUAACAC
rnacentral:rRNA from 1 species